CAAAAUGUUAUGAAAACUGCAGGAAAUAUGAAAACUGAGUUGUAAAAAAAUAGAAUUUAAAAAUUAUGUUUCCACAAGCUUUGCACAAUAUCGCUUACCUGGAAAUCGGUGAUGUUUAGGAUAUGGUAAACUUGUAGAUCCAAUGGGUGACUCAAUUCUGGACUCCUUCCAUGGAAUUCGCGAUGCACGUGGAACGCGGGACGGUACCGUCAAGAUCACGAAAGGGAGUACCUUUUUCGUUGAAAGCUUGAAGCGAAAUCACAGUAGUGGUACCUUGUCCUUAAAGUACUUAACGCAUGUCCAGUUUUAUACAUGCGUACCGAAAGCGAUAAGCUUUGAGCUUGUGGAUAAUUUUAAAAAUUGACAUUAAGAAGGUUAUUCCGCGUCAUUUUACAGGGGGCAUACCAAAAUAACUAAAUAUAAUUAAAUUGUCUAAAGCUUAUUCUACCC
rnacentral:lncRNA from 1 species